UUCUCUGCUUCGGCACGUGUUACACAGCGGCACAGGCGGUCCCUCGGCUCGGAUCGGCGCAAACGGCUCGAGCUCCCUCCAGUGAUGCUCCGGCAGCUCCUCCGGCGGCUCCUAGCGGCUGUUCGGCUCGGCUCACCUGUUUCCAGCCCGGUUUCCACUAUUUCGACCCUCCCGGAUCUGUUUUCGGCCCCGAUUAAGGAAACAAACCCCGGCAACGUAGGAAGCAGCUCUCACAGAACGGGAGCUUACGUUUAGCUAUUUAGGGAGCACUCCGGCCAAGGCCAACCAAGUAAAGGCAAGGCUCCCAUGUACGGUUGACG